AGCAGAAUGCUGCCUCGCCGCAUAAGACUUGAUAAAGGCACAGAGACUGGAUACUUAGCUGCUAUUCAUAUGUUUCUCAUGGAGCGACAUGGCAUUUCCCAAGAAGACGUAGAAAGUGUCCUUCUUGGUCCUUCUACUGACAACAAAAUAGAGAGGUUGUGGAGAGACGUGCGUGAGAAAGUGGGCGACCCCUACAAAUUGAUUCUAAAUCGACUAUCAGACGAUGGGCUGUACGAUCCAACGUGUCAAGACGAUAGGGAAAUUCUGGCUGGUGUGUUUGUUCCUGUUAUCGAGAAAGACUUGAACAAAUUCGUACGUUAUCACAACACAAGCAGGAUUAAGUCUCAAUCUAACGUACUGCUACCGACCGGAGCAAUACCUGAACAUAUGUAUGAGUGCCCUGAAGAUUACGCUCCUGGGA